rnacentral:rRNA from 1 species
CGUGUGGUUCUAUUUUGUUGGUUAUGGGACCGCCGUAAUGAUUAAUAGGGACAGUCGGGGGCAUCAGUAUUCAAUUGUCAGAGGUGAAAUUCUUGGAUUUAUUGAAGACUAACUACUGCGAAAGCAUUUGCCAAGGAUGUUUUCAUUAAUCAGGAACGAAAGUUAGGGGAUCGAAGACGAUCAGAUACCGUCGUAGUCUUAACCAUAAACUAUGCCGACUAGGGAUCGGGCGAUGUUACUUUUUGACUCGCUCGGCACCUUACGAGAAAUCAAAGUUUGUGGGUUCCUGGGGGAGUAUGGUGGCAACGCUGAAACUUAAUGAAAUUGACAGAAGGGCACCACCAGGGGUGGAGCCUGCGGCUUAAUUUGACUCUACACGGGGAAACUCACCAGGUCCAGACACAAUGAGGAUUGACAGAUUGAGAGCUCUUUCUUGAUUUUGUGGGUGGUGGUGCAUGGCCGUUCUUAGUUGGUGGAGUGAUUUGUCUGCUUAAUUGCGAUAACGAACGAGACCUUAACCUGCUAAAUAGCCCGUGUUGCUUCUGCAGCACGCCGGCUUCUUAGAGGGACUAUCGGCUCAAGCCGAUGGAAGUUUGAGGCAAUAACGGGUCUGUGAUGCCCUUAGAUGUUCUGGGCCGCACGCGCGCGACACUGACAGGGCCAGCGAGUUCUCCCUUGUCCGAAAGGACCGGGUAAUCUUGUUAAACCCUGUCGUGC